rnacentral:rRNA from 1 species
UGGGGGAUAUUGCACAAUGGGGGAAACCCUGAUGCAGCGACGCCUCGUGAGGGAAGACGGUUUUCGGAUUGUAAACCUCUGUCUUCAGGGACGAAGGAAUGACGGUACCUGAGGAGGAAGCGACGGCUAACUACGUGCCAGCAGCCGCGGUAAUACGUAGGUCGCAAGCGUUGUCCGGAAUUACUGGGUGUAAAGGGAGCGUAGGCGGGAAUGCAAGUUGAAUGUAUAAUCCAUGGGCUCAACCCAUGUUCGCGUUCAAAACUGCAUUUCUUGAGUGGAGUAGAGGCAGGCGGAAUUCCUAGUGUAGCGGUGAAAUGCGUAGAUAUUAGGAGGAACACCAGUGGCGAAGGCGGCCUGCUGGGCUCUAACUGACGCUGAGGCUCGAAAGCGUGGGUAGCAAACAGGAUUAGAUACC